AGGUUAUACAAGACUAAAACUCGUCAUUAAUACACUAUACAUAGACUGUGUUUUUCCAAUGGGUAAUUUUUAUAGAACCCCCUUGAUCUAGUGUUAUACAGUUCUGUUUGUCUUUAGUAAGGUUCUAAGGGAACUCUAGUAGAAGAAAGUUGUCAUAGAAUAAUAAGGAUAAGAAGAAUGGCCACCCCAAUAUCAACCGUUACCAACAAUACCUACAACACAAUGUAUAAUAUACAUGGUGAUUGUCAAGCUGUACAGAUUGGAACAUCAAACACAAUAAAUGAAACUACUAACCAGACCGACAGUGAUGAUUGCACAUCCGAUAUGGAAGAUUUGAGAUUCCAGAUGAAUCGGAUAAAGGAACAAUUUGAACGAAAAGAUGAAGAAAUAGCUGAACAAUCAGAAGUCAAGACAAACACCAACACUAAUACUAGACGUUAUAUCAGGGAUACGAGUAAUGAUAUUAUUCUAAAGUUAGUUAACAUAUAUAGAGGUACAGAUAUGGGUACUAUAACUGUCAGUAAGAAAGUCAGUGCUAAUGAUUUAAUGAAGUUGAUAGAAGAGAAGAAGAAUGAGAAGAGUAGUGUGUUUGAUAUAGCAGGAUAUAGAGAUGGUAGUGUGAGAGAGAUCUACGACAGUUGUAGCAACAAGAACGACUAUAGCCUGGAACAACUUGGUGUUGUAGACCAGGACCAGGUUCUAUACUGUUGCUAGUAAAAUAUAGAGAUUAUAUUGAUAUGAUGUAUUUAUGGUCUCCUUUAUAUUGAACAAUGAGGGGGGGGGGGGGGGGUAGAUAUUACUUAUAGUAAAAUAUAAUGGACGAACCAGAACGAGGUUAGGUAUUAUUAUCUUAUUGUCUCUUGAUUAGGUUGUGAGGGUGGAAUAAAGUAAAAUGUUUGAGUGGUGUUGUGGGUGAUGUGGUGUGGUGGAGUGGGUGCUAAGUUAGUGAAGAGAUUUAUCAACCACACCAGCACCCUAGUAUUUAACCAAGUAUCUUAUACCCCCCCCCACCACCACCCCCAUGAUUGAUAUAUUGAAUCUUACUCUAAGUAAUAUCUAACCUGUCCCAACUGUCCACCUGUUAGUAUUUAACCAAGUAUCUUAUACCCCCCCCCCCCAACCCCCAUGAUUGAUAUAUUGAAUCUUACUCUAAGUAAUAUCUUACCUGUCGCACCUGUCCCACCUGAUUGAUAUAUUGAAUCUUACUCUAAGUAAUAUCUUACCUGUCUCACCUGUCCCACCUGAUUGAUAUAUUGAAUCUUACUCUAAGUAAUAUCUAACCUGUCCCAACUGUCCACCUGUCCCACCUGUUAGUAUUUAACCAAGUAUCUUAUACCCCCAACCCCCAUGAUUGAUAUAUUGAAUCUUACUCUAAGUAAUAUCUUACCUGUCUCACCUGUCCCACCUGAUUGAUAUAUUGAAUCUUACUCUAAGUAAUAUCUAACAUCCUAAUAUAAAACUAGCUUACUACUGUAAAUAGAGCUGUAAUUCAAUAGUCACGAUUAUCAGGUGAUAUGUAGUCGUGAUCAUGUGAUAACUAACUGACAUGUAUAUAAUAUAUAAUUAUAUUAGUGAAACAAUGUUUUAUAUUUUGUAUUCUAAUUUUGUUUCAAUAAAAUAUUUUAUAACUAAA